GGGUCGGCGCAUUGCACGGUAUUAUUUUGCACCCACCGCCUGGGUGUCUUCUAAAGCUGGUUAGCUGCGCGGGCAUGUGGGCAUUCUCUUCGCAACCAACAUAUCUUGAGGGAUUCCUUUUGUCUUCUGGAUGUUUUCUGCUGCCGGUCUCCUCGCCGUUUUUACUCACCUCUUGGCCCUGGUGUGCGGUUUCAACCAAUUUCUGUCCCUUCAACUCCCUUCGCGGGGCGGGGUCAGCGGUGAGUGGCACCCUAGUCAAAGCUCCUGGAUUCUCUGAAAUCGUUCAGCUGCUGACUCACCGCGUGAGCCUGGACGAGUCACUUCCCUUUCUCACCCUCAGCUCCGCCAGCCUUACCAGGGCUAGAAGGAACGCGACGUCCUCGGUACGUGGGAUGACUAUUGAACCCAUCGUCCAGCUGGCACUUUUGAGAGCAAGAGGGGGUGUUGACAAUUAUGCUGAGACAGGUUUACUAAGAGGGGUGGUCCCCGGAAGGUUCUAGAAUCUCAUGUGAAAAUGGGGAUAGGAGCAGGCUUUCCUUAGCUUACCACCUCCCAGCUCAUGGGGGUAGAAUGGCUGCUUGCUGCAGCCUGUGCGAUUAGCUUUGCUCUAGAGAAGGGCCGAGAAACUCUGUCUUUCAUACAUUUCUAAGCAGGUGCAAAAAUAAUCAGAUACAACCCUGUAACACUCAUGAGGGGGGUAGGGUCUGAAGAAUGAUGGGUGACACUGGGCAAAGCCAUCACAGUGACAACGAAGGCUCUUAUCUGCUCCUUGGAGGUCCCAGCCUCACGAGUUAGGCCAGGCCCUGCCCCUCUGACACUUAAACUACCCUGAUAUCAAGCACUUGCCUAUUUGGGGUAUCGUAAAUAACACGUGGCCAUGUCGAUUCAGCUGGGCUUGGAGGAAGGGCUAACAGAACUCCAGAACGGCCCCAAGGAUAGCCCCUACUAUAUUCUGAGAAUUCAGUUGGCAGGAGCGUACCCAUGCAAGAUCUGCAUCUGGGCCGUGGCAGUCAGACCGAGCUCCUUCUCCUGGGUGGGGGCAUCCGGGCAAGAGGAGAGAACCGGCACGCAGUGUGCAGCAUGAUGGGGAAUCAGCAGAAAUAGAACUACCCAGGCUUGGCUCGGGAAUCAGCUAUGCCAGGCAGGAAUUCGCCCUUGGGAAGCUGUUGCUUAACCCUCCGGUUCCUCGGGCUCCCUGCCUCCUUGACAGAGGCCAAGGCAAACAAGGAUUCCGGGUGAGACCAGACCGACCAGCCAAUGCCAGCUCACUUGGGGUUAGACCGGGGCUGGGAGGGGCCCAGGCAACCCUGCAGGAUGCCGGGUGCUGGGUAGAGCCCCAGGGGGAGGCAGGUUUCUGCAGCUCCCUUUUCCCAGUGGAAAAACUCAGGAUUCCCAAAGGCUGUUGGGCAAGAGUCUCAAAUUGUCUUCAGACUGGGUCUAAUCUAGCUAGAACCACUUGGGAGCCAGGAUGUAGCUGGAUCCAGUGACAGGCGUCGCUGAGAAGUGAAGAGAGGUCCGGCGACAACUGGGAUCUCCAGUUGACCCAGUCUCAAGGGGCGGUGAGACUAGGCACCUGAUCCUUCUAGUCCAUUGAUUUGCUGUUACUCAGCUGCAAAUGCAGAAGUUCAGAGGACAAGCUGCUCCCAGGAGGUCACAAACAGCCUCAACAGUUCAAGAAGGCUGUCUCGACAGACACGAGGAGAAGGCUCAGUAGGUGGGAGACAGGCCAUCUGGGCCGGGACCAAAGAGCUGCACAUUCUCAGGGCAAGUCCCUUCUUCAAGGCCUGAGGUCCCCUGUUGACGUCACACCCAUGGAGGGAGAAGAAACACCAAGAAGGGGUGAGGCGGUGACGUCACCCUGUGUUCUCGCAGGGCUGAGGAGGUCUGUGCUCUACAUUCUUCCGCGUUGGCUCAAGCCGGAGCCCUUGUGAUGCAAACCAGGACGAGGUCCGAGGGCCCUCCCUCAAGGCGCACACCGUGUGGGAAGGGGACCCACAGCUCAGGAACCAAAACAGACACACCCAGCCCAGUGACCUCCCCACCAGCCAGUGACCAACAGCAGCCAGUCAACAGCUCUCAUCGAGAGGUUCCUGUGUACAUGACACCAUGCGGGAUCCAAUUUCCUGCAGACCAUGGCUUGGGGUUUACAAGGAGAAGGAGAAGGAGGAGGAGGAGGAGGAGAAGGAGAAGGAGAAAACUACCCCUGCCCCCCGCCUCGCCCCCCGACCUCCCAAAGACCACCAACCACCACGGCUCACACUCUGGAAAUUUUUCUGCCGAUGCAUUGUCGGUUUUUAUUUGGUUUUCACAUUACUGUAAUCAUAACCAUGUUUACAAUCCUGCAUCCCGCUGCACUUCACAUCCCGGUGUGUGUAUUUUUCUGCACGUUAAAUUUAUCCUGGUUGCUGCGAAGGUUUGUAUUUAUAUAUAUGUUUACAUGCAAAGGCUCCCUUCACUGGUUUUCUCUUGGGAGAAAGAGGCUUCCGCUCACUGCCUUGCUCUAAGGUCUAAACUCCCAGAAGCUUUGAGGCACCUGCUGGGCAGAGGGAAGAUUUCGGGCGAUGGCAGUUCUCACCCGGAGGGGCUGGGGCCGGCAGGUCAGUUACUCCGGGCCGGGGACAGUUGUCAAGAUGAAGAGGACAGGAAGGCAAAUCUGGGCCAAGGCAUGUAAAGGUGUUUCCUGGAUUUUUUCAAGACCCUAGAGUGUCAGAGAAAGGGAAAUGUAACAUACUCUACUCGGAGAGGAAAUAAAUGUGUGGUCUGUCAACCAAGCCCUCGGAAGAGAGGUUUAAUAUCAUAUAGCGUUUACAGUGAUGUUUCCUAAGAGCGACUUAGCCCUUCCCCUGCUGGGUACCAUGAUUAGGUAGGUAUAUGCAGCCGAGUAGGUAGGUAUACGGAGCCGCGCUCUCUCUCCCUCCCCCUCCCUGUCUCCUCUCUCCCUUAACCCCUGGUGAAAUGUCCAAAGGAGCCUUUGUUCAGUAAUUACGACCACGAGCUCUCUUUGUCCCACGUGCCUGUCACUGUCCCCAGCCGUGGCUUGAGUGUUUCUCACGACACUACCAGGAGGUAGGUGCUAUCCUAAUGCCCAGGGAGGGUAUCUCAUUGUUCAAGGUCACUCAGCGAGAAUGUGUCGGAGCCUGGAUUUAAACCUAGGUCUCCUGACCCGAAAGCCCAUUCCCUUAGCUGCUGCUCCAAUACUCCCUUUUUCAAUGCAAGACAGAUCUUCAGUGGGAUUUUGUUGCACAGAUAUGCAUGCAUUUCAAAGCUCUUUUUUAGAAGAGGUACCAAGAGGUCUGCAUUUUUUUGCAGUUCAGUGUUGGGUGACUGCUUUUUUGGGCCAAGUGUAAGAGCAACCCAGAAAAAACUCUCUGCCUUUUCCUGAGCCAUCCAGAAAAACACUUAGAGCUUUGCCCAAACAGCACAGCCUGGCUGUAGACGUGUCAAGGCUUUGUGUUCGUCUGACAUCCAGGGCCAAGGGCCGCAGAGCAAGGACAGCAGAGCAAGGACAGCGUGUUUCGCUGGCCUGAUCUAAUCAGAACACUGCCGCCACCGCACGCCUGUCUCCCACGUGUCCUAAAGAGUCCACCCUCCCAUCCCCCAAUGUCUCUGUUCCUGCCUCCAUCAUCCAGCAGGACAGAGUUUAAGGAGUAGAGAACUUUGUCGGGAAGAGGAAGUCACCAGCAUCGAUUUCGAAAGAUUCCUUCUGCGCGUCUCCCUUCUGUAAGACCCUUGCAUGACUUUCUUGGGGGGCAGCAGCCCCGCCUGCAGUCCACCCGCCCCCACUUGCCACACGCUUCCUGCCCCAAAUGUCAAGGUUUUCAUCUGACCGUGAUCUAAUUGAGCUGCAUAAAAUUACAAACAGCGAAA